CACCGACAGCGAGGACGGUUCCGGGCCGGUAUCGGCUGAACCAGCCGCACGGACACCGGCAGCGGUGGGCUGAACGAAAGGAACUCGACAAUACUGGAGCUAAACGGGUGAGAUUCAUCCAUCCAUAGCGCCGGUGGGGAACAGAGAAAGGGACAGACAGGAAAGAAAAGAACGAAGAGGAGACCAAAUGCAGGCUGCUGCCAGAUGUGAGGCCAGAGCCCGCAGCAGUUACACUGCAGGGAUUUCCAAAUGCCUUUCCCAAUUUACACUUCUGGGUGUCUGAGGCUAAGAAGUUGGGUUGCAAACUGAUCUGAGAGGAAAGUGUUAAAGAAGUUUUGGAUCAGAGGAAGUUCCUGCUGUACCCUGAGCAAAACAAGCCAUAGUUGUAAGCAUUCAGCGAUCCAUCAGCUGCAGAUAAAUGUGCUGAAAGCUUUUGCUGAAAUUACAACAAGGAAUAGAAGAAUCAGAGACACAAGACGUCCAUAGCGCCCUGUGUUGAUAUCGCUGGUUCCAAUCCCUGUCAUAUGAAAUAACUGAUUUCUCUGAGAUUUUAAGGUUUCAACCUAAUUUUAAAAGGAAUUAGAGGGCAAAUCCCACUUCACCACCAUUCCCACUAUCAAAAGGUGAAAAUAUUCACCUUGUAAGAAAUUAUACUCAGAUAUAAUAAAAUAUUUCAACUGGUUUUAAUUUAAUCAACAGCUUCCUUGAUUCCUCAAGAACCUGGCCAUCGCCUGAAAUGUUUGCUUAAAGGGAACCUUCUUUCAGGCUGCUGGGCAAGCUUAGAGGUAUCUGUUCUGCCUUCUGCUUUCCUGCAGCCCAGUGAACACUGCUUUGGGGGAUUCCUCUGACACUCAUUUCCACAAGGAACUGAAAUGGUUGCCUGUAUGUGACAUAUAAAGAAAGGAAUUACACAGUGAUAUUGUUUUCCUAUGUGGAGGCUAAUGCCUAAUUUAAGACUUACAACCUAAUACCUACAGAUCAACUCACUGCUAAUUCUUCCUUUGCCUGAGAUUUUUAUGCAGAAAAGCAAUGAAGAAUUGGAAUGGAUUUGCAAAGCCAGAAGGAAGGAGUAACAAUGCCCUGGUCACAUCAGGAGGGUGCUUUCUGCUCCUAAUCCCAUAUCUGUCAAUGCCUUCUCCUGGUUUACCUGCGCUGCCUGCUUUGCCUAAGAGGCAGCAGCAGUUCAUAUGAGCAACUGUAUUUCCUGCAGCCACAGCAGGUCCUGCUCCAGUCUAAUCAGGGAUGACCUUCAGCUUUCUGGCACAUGGACCUAACAUGGGCAAAGAUCAACUCUGCUGAUUUAAGCAAACCCUUCUGCUCCCAUUAGGGAAGAAGCAGUGUUUGUACUUGCUGAUUAUUGCACAUUUGUUGAGGCUUUGUGGAAACAAACUUAUUCUGAAAUGCAGUUUGGUUUUUUUAGUCAGAAGCAUUGUUGAGUGCUGCUAACAGAUUUUGUUCAAUGAUUGACAAAGCUACAAGUCUCAGCACACUGCAGUGUCUAAAUCCUAUCCUAGAACUCCAAACUAAUACAGUAUUUGACAAAACACAGUUGGUGUUGCGAAGUUGUAUUUGGAAGAAAUAUUUUGUGUAAAAUCUGAACUAAAAUCAUAGAUGUAGAGUUUGAGGAAAAUGAGAAACUUCAGUGUAAAAAUGCUACUGACUCUCUAGGUUGGUGUCUUAGUGUUAAGCCAGUAUGAUGGACUGUAUGGAUGCACGCAAAUCGUCAUUGGGGUGGUGGUGUAAGUAUACUCAAACUUUACUGAAGUUCCACAGGAUGCAGACCACUGAGCUGCAGGCUGAGCACAUCCCCAGCCUACAAGAAACCUGGAGAGGGGCUUGGGACAAGGGCCUGGAGGGACAGGCCAAGGGGAAUGGCUUUAACCUGCCAGAGGGGAGACUGAGAUGAGCUCUUAGGCAGAAGCUCUUCCCUGUGAGGGUGCUGAGGCGCUGGCACAGGGUGCCCAGAGAAGCUGUGGCUGCCCCAUCCCUGGCAGUGUUCAAGGCCAGGUUGGACACAGGGGCUUGGAGCAAGCUGCUCUAGUGGAAGGGGUCCCUGCCCAUGGCAGGGGUUGGAACUGGAGGAGCUUUAAGGUCCCUUCCAACCCAAACCAGACUUUGAUGUAUGAGUUGGGCACACCACCCCCGUGUGCUUGUGAUACCUGCUAAAAGGGAAGCCUCCCCAUCCCACUUCUCAGUGUGCAAUGUUAUAUUCACUUAUCAGGAUAUUACAGACUUGGAAGAUAUCAAAACUGAAGGAAGGAAUUGGGAGCAUGAGAGCUGGGUAGCAUUUGUAGCCUAACCCUCAGUUCACCUUGUGGUUUUAGGCAAGGCAAUUGGCUGCUGGAUGACUCUCUGUAAUACAGGUCAAAUAUUUUAUGUAAUAGCCACAGAGUUUAAGUGAAGGAUUACAUUGUUAUCAUAAGAAGUUACUCUAGAAUACUAUUUUUGAUGUAAUGACACUAUUUAUGAGCCAAAAUCCAAUUUAUAACUUUGGGGCCAGGAGCCAGCUUCCAUCAGUUUGCAGAGCCUAUGUCUGCAGUGUCUCUAGUGCGCACUUGCUUCAGUCCCAAGCCAAUACUUGAGGUCAAAUUCUCUCAUCACGCAUGCUGCCUGCAUGCUGGUGUGUGUGUGCUCUGGCUCCAGCCUGGGAUUAACCAGCUAUCUUUUUAUCAAGGACAUUGUGGUACAGGGUGGAAUCAAUACACAAACUGUGCCUCUCAGGCAACAAGGGCGCAAUUCACUGGAGGUGCUGGUCCGUGAGCACUCAAGCAUGCAUCCAGGAGGUAUCCAAGCAAACAGAGUCCCUUUAAACCCUGCUUUCAAAUACAGUAUGAGCUGUGGGGCUUUAACCUGUACCCAAACUUUGCUUCAACACUUGGGAAAACACUUUGGUGUUAUGUGUCUAUCAUACAC